UUAAAUUGAGAGUUUGAUCCUGGCUCAGGAUGAACGCUGGCGGCGUGCUUAACACAUGCAAGUCGAGCGAUGAAGUUUUCUUCGGGAAACGGAUUAGCGGCGGACGGGUGAGUAACACGUGGGUAACCUGCCUCAUAGAGUGGAAUAGCCUUCCGAAAGGAAGAUUAAUACCGCAUAACGUUGAAAGAUGGCAUCAUCAUUCAACCAAAGGAGUAAUCCGCUAUGAGAUGGACCCGCGGCGCAUUAGCUAGUUGGUGGGGUAACGGCCUACCAAGGCGACGAUGCGUAGCCGACCUGAGAGGGUGAUCGGCCACAUUGGGACUGAGACACGGCCCAGACUCCUACGGGAGGCAGCAGUGGGGAAUAUUGCACAAUGGGGGGGACCCUGAUGCAGCAACGCCGCGUGAGUGAUGAAGGUUUUCGGAUCGUAA
rnacentral:rRNA from 1 species